AGAAGGGCUUCCACGACGGCAACGUUUUUGGGGGCCUUUUUCUUUUGC
rnacentral:antisense_RNA from 1 species